UAGGGAAUCUUCGGCAAUGGACGAAAGUCUGACCGAGCAACGCCGCGUGAGUGAAGAAGGUUUUCGGAUCGUAAAACUCUGUUGUUAGAGAAGAACAAGGACGUUAGUAACUGAACGUCCCCCCCCGGUAUCUAACCAGAAAGCCACGGCUAACUACGUGCCAGCAGCCGCGGUAAUACGUAGGUGGCAAGCGUUGUCCGGAUUUAUUGGGCGUAAAGCGAGCGCAGGCGGUUUCUUAAGUCUGAUGUGAAAGCCCCCGGCUCAACCGGGGAGGGUCAUUGGAAACUGGGAGACUUGAGUGCAGAAGAGGAGAGUGGAAUUCCAUGUGUAGCGGUGAAAUGCGUAGAUAUAUGGAGGAACACCAGUGGCGAAGGCGGCUCUCUGGUCUGUAACUGACGCUGAGGCUCGAAAGCGUGGGGAGCAAACAGG
rnacentral:rRNA from 1 species